rnacentral:rRNA from 1 species
GAUGAACGCUGGCGGCGUGCCUAAUACAUGCAAGUCGAGCGAACAGACGAGGAGCUUGCUCCUCUGACGUUAGCGGCGGACGGGUGAGUAACACGUGGAUAACCUACCUAUAAGACUGGGAUAACUUCGGGAAACCGGAGCUAAUACCGGAUAAUAUAUUGAACCGCAUGGUUCAAUAGUGAAAGACGGUUUUGCUGUCACUUAUAGAUGGAUCCGCGCCGCAUUAGCUAGUUGGUAAGGUAACGGCUUACCAAGGCGACGAUGCGUAGCCGACCUGAGGGGGUGAUCGGCCACACUGGAACUGAGACACGGUCCAGACUCCUACGGGCGGCAGCAGUAGGGAAUCGUCCGCAAUGGGCGAAAGCCUGACGGAGCAACGCCGCGUGAGUGAUGAAGGUCUUCGGAUCGUAAAACUCUGUUAUUAGGGAAGAACAAAUGUGUAAGUAACUAUGCACGUCUUGACGGUACCUAAUCAGAAGGACACGGCUAACUACGUG